rnacentral:rRNA from 1 species
GUUAUACGUAUNUCNCNAGCGUUNUCCGGAUUUAUUGGNGUNAAAGCGCGUNUAGGCGGUUUGUNAGUCUGAUGUGNAAAUGCGGGCUCAACCCCGUNUUGCGUUGGAACUGCUAAACUAGAGUACUGAGAGGUGGGCGGAACUACAAGUGUAGAGGUGAAAUUCGUAGAUAUUUGUAGGAAUGCCGAUGGAGAAGUCAGCCCACUGGACAGAUGCUGACGCUGAAGCGCGAAAGCGUGGGUAGCAAACAGGAUUAGAUACCCUGGUAGUCCACGCCGUAAACGAUGAUUACUAGGUGUUGGGGGUCGAACCUCAGCGCCCAAGUUAACGCGAUAAGUAAUCCGCCUGGGGAGUACGUACGCAAGUAUGAAACUCAAAGGAAUUGACGGGGACCCGCACAAGCGGUGGAGCAUGUGGUUUAAUUCG